UUUCGUUUCAAUCACUAAAGCGAUGCUGUUUCCCAUUGCAUUUAAGGGUUGACUGUGUAAGAACCGUGGCUCAGGGAUGCUUCUUCUCUUCCACUUCUUUGCUAACUGUGGAUUUGAAAUUCAAAAGCCUCCUCCUACUCCCCCACUGAGAGUUUCAGAACCUGUUAAUCCCCUGGAAUCUUUGCACUCUCAAGGGACCCUGUCACUUCUUUUGCCUAAGCUGUAAGUGUAGCUGAAGGAAGGGGCUAUUACAGGGGAAAGACUAGGAGACAAAGAGCCAAAGAGAGGACUUUUUUCUCUUUUCCUAUUGCAUAAAAACUGAUAUAACACAAAACUAGUCCUCGGGGCCCCUGAUCUACAAGCAACCUCCACUACCAAACAGCUGCUCAGCCGGAGAAAGGCUUCCAAAAAGACUGCCUAGAAUAUCUGUGUGCAAGGGUGAGCAUCUCCCAAAGUGUCCGUGACUGCUGACAGAGCUGGAGAAAGCCUGGCUGCUUUCCAGGGUAAGCUGCUGACAGGAUAUUUUAAGAACUUGAAGAGAGGAAAAACUAAAGAAUGGAUAAAAGUUGGAGCUGAAUCUAGGUUCAGCUGUGAUGAUCUGAAUGGAUACGGGAUCAAGAACAGAACUUGAAAGCUCCCUUGGUUUCUUAAAAGGACUUUUGUGAAGUUUCAAAUCCUCUGCAGAGAAUAAGAGAAUAGAAUUCAUAGAAAUAGAAAGACCCAAAACCUAGUAUUGAUAAGACCACCCCUCUACCUCUCAUCAACACAGGCACCAGCUUUAAGUAUCUUGAGAUAACCAAGAUGUUUUGGUCAUAGAAACAUUUAAGAUUUUCAUGUGAUUACAAGUUUACAAACAGUGAAAUCAUAUGAUUAAGUCUUUAUCAACACUAUGAUUUAAUUCUAACACAUCACCCACAUGUCUCUACAUACUCCAUACAUAAAAUAAAUUUAUUUUAUAUAGUUAUAGCA
rnacentral:lncRNA from 1 species